ACAAUCACGGAUAGAAUGAUCUAAAGAUCCACAUUUAAAACAAGCCCGAUCAUACAGUCUAUAAUUUCCAGGUUGUCUUUUACCACAGUGUUUGCACUCAGGUCGAUCGAAUCGGACAUUUCUAGCACUAGCAACAGAAGCAGCUGGAGCUCUGAAGCUCAAAUAUGAUCUUGCACGAUCUCUACUCGGAUGUCCCCCAUUAGCCUUUGAACGACUAUAAUCGUCUCGGAAUUUCUUUGACAUAGACUGAAAUAAUUUACUUGUAGAUCUCUUUCUGAGCCAGCUUUUAUUUUCUCUUUCCCG
rnacentral:lncRNA from 1 species